CUAGACGAAAUCCGCCCGUACCGUAAACCGACACAGGUAGGCGGGGAGAGAAUCCUAAGGUGCGCGGGAAAACCCUCGUUAAGGAACUCGGCAAAUUGCAUCCGUAACUUCGGGAGAAGGAUGACCCUGAGUAGGCGAAAGGGAGAAACCCCCGGAACAGAAAAGGGUGGCAGAAAAGAGGCCCAAGCAACUGCUUACCAAAAACACAGGUGCCUGCAAAAGCGAAAGCUGAAGUAUAGGUGCUGACGCCUGCCCGGUGCUGGAAGGUUAAGGAGAGAGGUCAGCGAAAGCGAAGCUUUGAACUGAAGCCCCAGUGAACGGCGGCCGUAACUAUAACGGUCCUAAGGUAGCGAAAUUCCUUGUCGGGUAAGUUCCGACCCGCAUGAAAGGCGUAAUGAUUUGGGCACUGUCUCAACGAGGGGCCCGGUGAAAUUGAAAUACCUGUGAAGAUGCAGGUUACCCGCGACUGGACAGAAAGACCCCAUGGAGCUUCACUGCAGCUUGAGAUUGAAUCCCGGUGACAUAUGUACAGGAUAGGUGGGAGGCUAAGAAGUAAUGCCUUUGGGUGUUACAGAGCCGAUGUUGGGAUACCACCCUUAUGUUGCUGAGAUUCUAACACGGAGACUAACAACCUCGUGGACCAUCUCAGGCAGGCGGUUUGACUGGGGCGGUCGCCUCCUAAAAUGUAACGGAGGCGCCCAAAGGUUCCCUCAGGCCGGACAGAAACCGGCCGAAGAGUGCAAAGGCAGAAGGGAGCUUGACUGCGAGACAGACAAGUCGAGCAGAGACGAAAGUCGGGCUUAGUGAUCCGGUGGUACUGAGUGGAAAGGCCAUCGCUCAACGGAUAAAAGCUACCCUGGGGAUAACAGGCUAAUCUCUCCCAAGAGUUCAUAUCGACGGGGAGGUUUGGCACCUCGAUGUCGGCUCAUCACAUCCUGGAGCUGGAGUAGGUUCCAAGGGUUGGGCUGUUCGCCCAUUAAAGUGGUACGCGAGCUGGGUUCAAAACGUCGUGAGACAGUUUGGUUCAUAUCCAUCGCGGGCGCAAGAAGUUUGAGGGAGGCUGCUCCUAGUACGAGAGGACCGGAGUGGACGGAUCAACGGUGUACCAGUUGUCACGCCAGUGGCACGGCUGGAAAGCCGCAUCCGGAAAGGAUAAACGCUGAAAGCAUCUAAGCGUGAAGCCCGUCCCGAGAUGAGACUUCUCAUCAGCAAUGAGUAAGACCCCUUAAAGACGAUGAGGUUGAUAGGCUGUGAGUGGAAGUGGCGCAAGUCAUGGAGCGACGCAGUACUAAUAGGUCGAGGUCUUAGCU
rnacentral:rRNA from 1 species